rnacentral:rRNA from 1 species
AACGCGAAGAACCUUACCCAGGCUCGAAAUGUAGAGGGCGAUACCAGAAAUGGUAUUUUCCGUAAGGACUUCUAUAUAGGUGCUGCAUGGCUGUCGUCAGCUCGUGCCGUGAGGUGUUGGGUUAAGUCCCGCAACGAGCGCAACCCUUAUCAUUAGUUGCCAACACGCGAGGUGGGGACUCUAAUGAGACUGCCUAGGUUAACUAGGAGGAAGGUGAGGAUGACGUCAAGUCCGCAUGGCCUUUAUGUCUGGGGCUACACACGUGCUACAAUGGUCGGUACAGAAGGCAGCGAAGUCGUAAGAUGGAGCAAAUCCCAAAAGCCGAUCUCAGUUCAGAUUGUGGUCUGCAACUCGACCACAUGAAGUUGGAAUUGCUAGUAAUGACGUGUCAGCUACAACGUCGUGAAUACGUUCCCGGGCCUUGUACACACCGCUCGCGA